rnacentral:rRNA from 1 species
AUGGAUCUAACAACCAUUAAAAAGUUACCCAGUUCUCGUAGACCAAGUGCAGACUACUUGGCUGGCGUAGAUGGUUUUCUUGAUUUUGCAUACACUGGAAAAAGUUCAGAUGCCAAGAUCCGUUGUCCAUGCGUCAAAUGUGCCAAUAGGUACUUGUUGAAGCGAAACACCGUAUAUGAUCAUUUGGUGUGUAAUGGAAUGCUACUUGGAUACACAGUUUGGGGUUGUCAUGGUGAAACUGCAGGAUACAUCUCCUUUAACAAACGAAAAAGGUCAAAACAGGAAGGCAUAAACUCUAAUAUGCGCCAGCUAGUCCAUGAUGUUUUCGGUAACAUAGAAAAUGGGUCUCAAGCGAAUGAAUUCGAUGACCCAAACCCUCCAGAUCAUGGACCAGAUCCUGAAACCCAAGCUUUUUAUGACUUGUUGAGAGAUGCAGUGUACCUUUGUGGAAUGGGUCUGAACUGUCAAAACUUUCUUUCCUUGUGCUUCUGUUCAACAUAA